rnacentral:lncRNA from 1 species
AUUAGGGUUUGUUUCUGUGAUAGAGUUGUUCGAUUAAGCCAAAGCGAUUUGGUUAGCAGUAUUGUCUCUGUCUCAUAGUUUUGUUGGACACUCUUAUGUGUCUUUGUUGUUCCAAUUUCUCUUUGUCUCUGUGGGUUUUCGAUUAAACUUAUACUUUCUUUAACUUUUUCUUCUGUUAACUGCAGAUGGCCUCAAGAAGAGGACAAGGGACAUCUCCUCCUAUGCCUCCUGGUG